UUGAUUAUUGUCAAUGUGUUCAAUUUGAUGUUCAAUAUGGCAAGAAUGGAUUUUUGUGGCAUGUGAAAACCCCUUUAUUUUCAUCUACCCUAAAUCUCGCUGCAGCAAAAAUGGAUUCUCGCUGUAGUGAGAAACUCUCGAGUGGUGGGGCGUGAACCAGCCCUGCUUCUCACUGCAGCAAAAAUGGAUUCUCGCUAUAGCGAGAAACCCUUGGGUGGCUACAUUCCAAACCCUCACCAGAAUUUCGCUGCAGCGAGAAACCCUCGGGUAGCAGAUAAUUUGUGCUCGAAUUUCACUAUUGCGAGAAUGCCUUUCUGUUGCAGCGAGGAUCAAUCUAUUUCGCUUGACUUGCUUGAAUGCUACUAAAGUUUUCACUCUUCAAAUUCUUUGUUGUUCAUGGAUCCUUCAUCAUCAAGUGAUUAAACAACUAAGGGUUCAAAUGAGGGGUUCUAAUAAGAAUUAAACUAAAUUGCAUUGUUUUUUUAAUAUAAGUGUAUCAUGAUUUUUAAACUUUUCUUAUCAUUUGCUUGUUCCCUUCCUAUGUUCACUCACUGAAUUUAUACUCACUAUUUUUAACUUCAUGUUUUCAGAUCAAAAGGCAGUUGGAACCUAGGUCGAGACAUCCACGUAGAUUCGUUUCCUUGGUAGGUAUCUCGACAUUCAAUAGUUGUAUCUUCACCAAGGUCACUUCGCUAGAAGUCAAGUGUCCUUUUGUUGUGUAUAGAUAAAUGCGAUGUAAAUUACUAACAUACAUGUCUUGGAUAAUAUAUGUAUAUUUUGAUUGGUAAUGCCAUUAUGAGUUUGGCUAUGGUUAACAUUAUUUUUGGUUCAUAUAAAU
rnacentral:lncRNA from 1 species